AGAGUUUGAUCCUGGCUGAGAACGAACACUGGCGGCGUGGUUUAGGCAUGCCAGUCGAACGAGAAAGUUCCCUUCGGGGAACGAGUACAGUGGCGAACGGGUGAGUAACGCGUGGGAAACCUGCCCUUCAACGGGGGAUAACAGUUCUAACGAGCUGCUAAUACCGCAUACGACCUGAAGACCGCAUGGUUUGCAGGUGAAAGGUGGCCUCUCUCUGAAGCUGCCGAUGAAGGAUGGUCCCGCGUCCCAUUAGCUAGUUGGUGAGGUAACGGCUCACCAAGGCGACGAUGGGUAGCCGGCCUGAGAGGGUGUCCGGCCACACUGGGACUGAGAUACGGCCCAGACUCCUACGGGAGGCAGCAGUCGAGAAGCUUCGGCAAUGGGCGAAAGCCUGACCGAGCGACGCCGCGUGAGUGAAGAAGGCCCUAUGGGUUGUAAAACUCUGUCAGAUUGGGAAGAAAAUUCCACGGUUAAUACCCGUGGGACUUGACGGUACCAUCAGAGGAAGCACCGGCUAACUCCGUGCCAGCAGCCGCGGUAAUACGGAGGGUGCAAGCGUUGUUCGGAUUCACUGGGUAUAAAGGGUGCGCAGGCGGCCUGGUAAGUCAGAGGUGAAAUAUGACGGCUUAACCGUCAAACUGCCUCUGAAACUGCCAGGCUUGAGUCCGGGAGAGGAAGGUGGAAUUCCAGGUGUAGCGGUGAAAUGCGUAAAUAUCUGGAGGAACACCGGUGGCGAAGGCGGCCAUCUGGCGCUGAACUGACGCUGAGGCGCGAAAGCGUGGGGAGCAAACAGGAUUAGAUACCCUGGUAGUCC
rnacentral:rRNA from 1 species